rnacentral:tRNA from 1 species
GAGGGCUUAGCUUAAUUAAAGUAGUUGAUUUGCAUUCAGCUGAUGUAAGAUGGAGUCUUGCAGCCCUUA